rnacentral:misc_RNA from 1 species
AAUAAACAAUAUAAAAAUUAGAGUAAACAGAUGUAUUUCAAUGUACAUUUAUGCUAUUACCUACAUUUACCGUUAGACCUUAAUGCACUGGAGCCCAGAACACUUUGCUAAAAUUUUAGCUCAAUACAUUGAUAGGUUGGUAUAUAUUGAAAACUAACCAGCAGGAGCAAUUAGCCUAUUCAAAUGUUUAAGACUUUUCAGAGUCAGGAUAUAUAAUCUAUGUUGCAUUUCCAAGACGAUUCGAGUUCCCAGUUGUGUAAGCUGCUAUAACAUCUCCUUAUCUGCAGACAAGAAGGAUAUAAUCUAUAGUCUUCUGUCAU